rnacentral:rRNA from 1 species
GAUGAACGCUGGCGGCGUGCCUCAAACAUGCAAGUCGAGCGGGGCUAUGUAAUAUCGCAAGGUAGAACAUAGCCUAGCGGCGAACGGGUGAGUAACACGUGGGUAACCUGCCUGGAAGACAGGGAUAACGAUUCGAAAGGGUCGCUAAUACCUGAUAAUAUCCUUUCAUCGCAUGGUGAUAGGAAGAAAGGGGAAACCCGCUUUCAGAUGGGCCCGCGUCCCAUCAGCUAGUUGGUAAGGUAAAGGCUUACCAAGGCGACGACGGGUAGCCGGUCUGAGAGGAUGUACGGCCACACUGGGACUGAGAUACGGCCCAGACUCCUACGGGAGGCAGCAGUUGGGAAUCUUAGGCAAUGGACGAAAGUCUGACCUAGCGACGCCGCGUGAGGGAAGAAGGCCUUCGGGUUGUAAACCUCUGUCAUGGGGGAAGAAGUAAGUGACGGUACCCCAAGAGGAAGCCCCUGCUAACUACGUG